CCUACGUGAGGCAGCAGUGGGGAAUAUUGCACCAUGGGGGAAACCCUGAUGCAGCGACGCCGCGUGAGUGAAGAAGUAAUUCGUUACGUAAAGCUCUAUCAGCAGGGAAGAAACACUGACCUUACGGUGAGCAGACGGUACCUGAGUAAGAAGCACCGGCUAACUACGUGCCAGCAGCCGCGGUAAUACGGAGGGGGCACGAGUUUUCCGGAUUUACUGGGUUGAAAGGGAGCUGAGACGGUGCGUCAGGUCUGGAGUGAAAUGACGCGGCUAAACGGCGGAACUGCUUUGGAAACUGGCGAACUAGAGUGCGGGAGGGGUAAGCGGAAUUCCUAGUGUAGCGGUGAAAUGCGUAGAUAUUAGGAGGAACACCGGUGGCGAAGGCGGCUUACUGGACCGUAACUGACGUUGAGGCUCGAAAGCGUGGGGAGCAAACAGGAUUAUAUACCCCAGUAGUC
rnacentral:rRNA from 1 species